AUUGAACGCUGGCGGCAUGCUUUACACAUGCAAGUCGAACGGCAGCGGGGUAGUGCUUGCACUACUGUCCGGCGAGUGGCGAACGGGUGAGUAAUAUAUCGGAACGUACCGAGUAAUGGGGGAUAACCAAUCGAAAGAUUGGCUAAUACCGCAUACGUCCUAAGGGAGAAAGCGGGGGAUCGCAAGACCUCGCGUUAUUCGAGCGGCCGAUAACUGAUUAGCUAGUUGGUGGGGUAAAGGCCUACCAAGGCGACGAUCAGUAGCGGGUCUGAGAGGACGAUCCGCCACACUGGGACUGAGACACGGCCCAGACUCCUACGGGAGGCAGCAGUGGGGAAUUUUGGACAAUGGGGCAACCCUGAUCCAGCCAUGCCGCGUGUAUGAAGAAGGCCUUCGGGUUGUAAAGUACUUUUGUUAGGGAAGAAAAGGGAAGUGCUAAUACCACUUUUUGCUGA
rnacentral:rRNA from 1 species